GAGGGUAAGGCUCAGUGGUACAGUGUGUGCCUGGCAUGCAGAAGGUCCUAGGUUCAAUUCCCAGCACCUCCA
rnacentral:tRNA from 1 species